UGCGUAGGUGGUUUCUUAAGUCAGGAGUGAAAGGCUACGGCUCAACCGUAGUAAGCUCUUGAAACUGGGAAACUUGAGUGCAGGAGAGGAAAGUGGAAUUCCUAGUGUAGCGGUGAAAUGCGUAGAUAUUAGGAGGAACACCAGUAGCGAAGGCGGCUUUCUGGACUGUAACUGACGCUGAGGCACGAAAGCGUGGGAAGCAAACA
rnacentral:rRNA from 1 species